UACGUAGGGUGCAAGCGUUAAUCGGAAUUACUGGGCGUAAAGGGCGCGCAGGCGGCUCUUCAAGUCAGGCGUGAAAGCCCCGGGCUUAACCUGGGAAUUGCGCUUGGGACUGGAGGGCUUGAGUACGGGAGAGGAGAGUGGAAUUCCCAGUGUAGAGGUGAAAUUCGUAGAUAUUGGGAAGAACACCGGUGGCGAAGGCGGCUCUCUGGACCGUAACUGACGCUGAGGCGCGAAAGCGUGGGGAGCAAACAGG
rnacentral:rRNA from 1 species